UAAAAUUUUAACAAAAUUAAUUCAAAACAAUAAUACUCAUGUACUUGGCUUUAACCCCGGAAAGGGAGUUUCUAGCCAAUAAUAUUCAUAAUCACAAUUCAAAUAAUUAAAUACAUGAUAUGAAUUAUUAACAAGCUAAUUAAAGAAUGAAAAAUAAAAUGUAAAAUGUGAAGCAGCCUCCAUAAAUAUUCCACGACGUCCCCUACGUAAUAAUGAUCCAGAAUAAUCCAAGUUGUGUGUAUAUAUAAUAACCUUAUCCUAAUCCUUCUAGGAUUAAAAUCACAAUGAUCCAAAGAUUCCCAUAUACCAAGACACCUAACCACGUGAAAUAUAUUAUAUUCAAAGUAUAUGCUAAUAUAUCUAUCCAUGUAACAGUGGAACUUGUCCAAAAUUGGAGCAAUGCAACGAAGGGAGCGACGCACGUAAAGGAUCACCGCAAUGAACCCUGCUUCGCGAGCAUGGCUACACCGAAAUAACGGACGUGUUGCAGUCUAUCCACGUGAUGCCACUAGAAUUAAUAUUCAUAAUAUUUUUGAAGGCACAAGAGCACACUAUGGACCAUACGACGCGUGCAAAUCGCGCACACACUGCAAGUUGCAUCCAAAAUUUUGGUUAAG
rnacentral:lncRNA from 1 species